GAUGAACGCUGGCGGCGUGCCUAAUACAUGCAAGUCGAGCGAACAGAUAAGGAGCUUGCUCCUUUGACGUUAGCGGCGGACGGGUGAGUAACACGUGGGUAACCUACCUAUAAGACUGGGAUAACUUCGGGAAACCGGAGCUAAUACCGGAUAAUAUUUCGAACCGCAUGGUUCGAUAGUGAAAGAUGGUUUUGCUAUCACUUAUAGAUGGACCCGCGCCGUAUUAGCUAGUUGGUAAGGUAACGGCUUACCAAGGCGACGAUACGUAGCCGACCUGAGAGGGUGAUCGGCCACACUGGAACUGAGACACGGUCCAGACUCCUACGGGAAGCAGCAGUAGGGAAUCUUCCGCAAUGGGCGAAAGCCUGACGGAGCAACGCCGCGUGAGUGAUGAAGGUCUUCGGAUCGUAAAACUCUGUUAUUAGGGAAGAACAUACGUGUAAGUAACUGUGCACGUCUUGACGGUACCUAAUCAGAAAGCCACGGCUAACUACGUGCCAGCAGCCGCGGUAAUACGUAGGUGGCAAGCGUUAUCCGGAAUUAUUGGGCGUAAAGCGCGCGUAGGCGGUUUUUUAAGUCUGAUGUGAAAGCCCACGGCUCAACCGUGGAGGGUCAUUGGAAACUGGAAAACUUGAGUGCAGAAGAGGAAAGUGGAAUUCCAUGUGUAGCGGUGAAAUGCGCAGAGAUAUGGAGGAACACCAGUGGCGAAGGCGACUUUCUGGUCUGUAACUGACGCUGAUGUGCGAAAGCGUGGGGAUCAAACAGGAUUAGAUACCCUGGUAGUCCACGCCGUAAACGAUGAGUGCUAAGUGUUAGGGGGUUUCCGCCCCUUAGUGCUGCAGCUAACGCAUUAAGCACUCCGCCUGGGGAGUACGACCGCAAGGUUGAAACUCAAAGGAAUUGACGGGGACCCGCACAAGGGGUGGAGCAUGUGGUUUAAUUCGAAGCAACGCGAAGAACCUUACCAAAUCUUGACAUCCUUUGACAACUCUAGAGAUAGAGCUUUCCCCUUCGGGGAACAAAGUGACAGGUGGUGCAUGGUUGUCGUCAGCUCGUGUCGUGAGAUGUUGGGUUAAGUCCCGCAACGAGCGCAACCCUUAAGCUUAGUUGCCAUCAUUAAGUUGGGCACUCUAAGUUGACUGCCGGUGACAAACCGGAGGAAGGUGGGGAUGACGUCAAAUCAUCAUGCCCCUUAUGAUUUGGGCUACACACGUGCUACAAUGGACAAUACAAAGGGCAGCGAAACCGCGAGGUCAAGCAAAUCCCAUAAAGUUGUUCUCAGUUCGGAUUGUAGUCUGCAACUCGACUACAUGAAGCUGGAAUCGCUAGUAAUCGUAGAUCAGCAUGCUACGGUGAAUACGUUCCCGGGUCU
rnacentral:rRNA from 1 species